GAUGAACGCUGGCGGCGUGCCUAAUACAUGCAAGUCGAGCGAACGGACGAGAAGCUUGCUUCUCUGAUGUUAGCGGCGGACGGGUGAGUAACACGUGGAUAACCUACCUAUAAGACUGGGAUAACUUCGGGAAACCGUAGCUAAUACCGGAUAAUAUUUUGAACCGCAUGGUUCAAAAGUGAAAGACGGUCUUGCUGUCACUUAUAGAUGGAUCCGCGCCGCAUUAGCUAGUUGGUAAGGUAACGGCUUACCAAGGCAACGAUGCAUAGCCGACCUGAGAGGGUGAUCGGCCACACUGGAACUGAGACGCGGUCCAGACUCCUACGGGAGGCAGCAGUAGGGAAUCUUCCGCAAUGGGCGAAAGCCUGACGGAGCAACGCCGCGUGAGUGAUGAAGGUCUUCGGAUCGUAAAACUCUGUUAUUAGGGAAGAACAUAUGUGUAAGUAACUGUGCACAUCUUGACGGUACCUAAUCAGAAAGCCACGGCUAACUACGUG
rnacentral:rRNA from 1 species